CCGCUGCUGUCGUCUUGUACAGCUCGGACCCUUUGACAGGCGACCACAUGAUCUCCAGGGUCUCGGUAGAAACCAGCUUUAUGGUAACAUCAUGUGGACAACAAGGAACUGGAGGGGAGGAGAAAUGCAAACACAGGCCACCAUUGUUAUCAGGAUAGCGUGACCACAAACCUGCAGGUGCUUCUGUGUGAUGCUCCUACUGGUGGUGUAGUUGCGGACGUGUGCGAAAAGGCUGGAGCCGGCACUGUUGUAUGGGAACACGCUGGUGAGAUGAAACGACAGGUGCUUUAUUGUUUCAGCAAAAUACCAAAGAGCCCAAAGGCUGCAACUCCUCCCCUCAGGGGAGUGUGGGUGGCCUAUCAGAGCAAGAGAUGGGAGCUCACCUUUGUUAGAUGAGGACUUUGAUAAAGAACAACAUUUUCAUGUUUUGUUUUUGCAUCCAUUCCACUGAAAUACAUUAAUUGAUGUGAACUACAUUCUGCAAGUUAAAUAUUUUGCACCCACUAAUGAAAUUCUGUGAACAGAAGAGACAACUUAAUACAAGUGAUGACCUGCUUUUGUUGUUUGGUGUCUGGAAGGAAGUUAAAGCUUAUUGGCUGGUUAAGGUUUCAACGGGACAAUAUUUGAUUUCUCCUGAUUUUCUGUCUUGUGAUAUCUAGUGAUAGAUGACACCUGCUUUUGAGUAACUGGUCAUGUUGUCCUCAAUUUGUCAAUGCCUGAGUUUACACAGAUUUAUCAGGUCAUCAAGAGCGCUGAAGAUUUGAUUACUAUAAAUAUAGGCAUUGUGUUUUAGUUCAUUCUGGAAGACUUGCUCUACAGUAUGCAACACACAUUGAUUUUCUCUGACACACACGUUGUAAAUUGUUUAUUUUCAAAGUUAUUUUUAAUUUCUGUAGUGUUUUUGUGUGUUUACUUGAAUCAGACAGUGGCCAGAGGUAGGAAAUGUGGGGUAAAAAGUAAAGGAAUGACAAGCCGACAAGAAAUCAAACCAGGGACUCGCUACUGAGGACAUACACAACCAUCUGAGAUCCACCCGAACCACCCAGCUAUCAGGUCGUCCCUUAAGUACAGUAAAUUUACCUGCUUCAGAGUCACCUGAGGCUAGGAUUCAUUGUCACUCUCUAACAAAUGAAUAAGCAGAAACAAGCUGGCUUAUGUAACCAUAUAGAAAACCGGUUUGGUACAUUUGGAUUUGGAGAACAUUUAGAAACUUAAACUACAGUGAACCUUUCUGUGCUCUAUAGAAUUACCGUACGGGCAAAUAGUUUCAGGUAAAGCGACAAAAACAACGUUAGAAUAAUAGCUUCUCUACUCUCCAGUGGCUGAGUAUCUGCGUCAGGUGUGUGUUAUGAAAAGGUGCUCAGUGGAUCCCAAAGGAGCAGCGAUGGACAAACUCUUUUGUGCACAAAGGCCGAGAGGAGAAAGCUGAUCAAGUUCGACUUCACAGAAAUGAGAUGAUUACUGCUUUGAAAGAGUUAAAGAGAACAAAAAAGCAGCAGCGUCGGAUUUCCCUCAUAAAUUGCCUUCAGUACAGAUGAUCUUCACAGUUCAUCAGCAUGUGAUAAACC